rnacentral:tRNA from 1 species
AAAUAAAUAUCUAAAUUUUAAGUAUUUCAUUUACAAUGAUAAGAUGUUAUUAAAUUAACUUUAUUUA